UACGUAGGUGGCAAGCGUUGUCCGGAAUUACUGGGUGUAAAGGGAGCGCAGGCGGGAAGCCAAGUCAGCUGUGAAAACUACGGGCUUAACUUGUAGACUGCAGUUGAAACUGGUUUUCUUGAGUGAAGUAGAGGUUGGCGGAAUUCCGAGUGUAGCGGUGAAAUGCGUAGAUAUUCGGAGGAACACCGGUGGCGAAGGCGGCCAACUGGGCUUUAAUUGACGCUGAGGCUCGAAAGUGUGGGGAGCAAACAGG
rnacentral:rRNA from 1 species